AGAAACUUAGAAUAAUGUAAAUCAAAUGCCUUCAAAGCCUUAAACAAGAGUUAAACGCUCUUAGUUUCUG
rnacentral:tRNA from 1 species